rnacentral:lncRNA from 1 species
CCUUUCUGAAAAUUACUCCAAACUGCCCCAAUUUAGGCCCAAAACAAUUUCAGCCCAACAAAACAAUAACAACAAUUGAGCCCCCAUAUAAUACUAACCAGCCGCCCAAACAGCCCAAAAUGGCUAACCCGGUCCAUUUACAUCACCGUAGCAACAACUCCAACAAACACCCGAUAACAACAGCUUCAACCAACCAGUGACAACAUCAACGACCUACAAACAACCAACAACGACAAAUCCCUGACCCGAUAACGACCUUGCAAGACCCAAUUCCGUUGAAACCCAACCCGACAACCAACAACGGUAGAAAACCCAGCUUCCCCAUUUAUCAUUUUACCCCUUCGGUACAGCCGUCUGUGGCUAAAAAAUCAAGAACUUUUAUGUGUUCAGUCCAUUGUUCAUCAUUUCAGGCAAAAAAUUAACUCGCCCUUUGACCAAACAUCUCUUUUUCUCUCCAUUGAUUCUUAAGGAUGAAGGUCAUUAAUGGCCUUUGUCUCACUGUGGAUGUGAAAAUUUUUAAGGAUUGGGUUAAAUUUCAGAUUCGAAGUCCAUCUUUUUUUUCAAAAAUUCAAAACCUAAUUUCUCCCCCAAUUUCUCUUAUAAAUAGACGUUGAGGGAUAAGGGAAAAGCGGAGAAUUUCGGAAAAAAACUUGGAGGUUCGGGAGGCGCAUGCUUCUAACCUCACGCAACCGAAAUUCUCUCUCGAGAGUCGAUUCCAACGAAAGUUAAAAUUCUGACGAGAAAUUGAAAAGCCGAUGGGUCAAGGUUGAAAUUUUGGUGGAAGCAAGUUAAAUUUUAGUGGAAUUUCGUUCGAUCAAAAGCUCGUCAUCCCGGUAUCGCUGCGCAAAAAUAGGUAGUGCUUUUGGUCUUCCCAUUAUAUUUUUGUUCCGUUAUUUUUCUUAGGCGAUUUGAGAAAUAGAGAUGAGAAGGUGUGUUGGAUUGAAAUUAUCUGAUUUAGCUGUGUCCUAUGACUGAUGGUUUAAUGCUUGUUGAAAUUAUUGUUUUUUGGGUUAGUCACACUGUCUAUUUCAAAUGUGAACAACCUUGGCUUCUUGAUAUAUGUGAUGGUCUUGAGUUGCACUCCUCUUUCCUUGAUGUCUAUCUUAGUCAAGUCCUUUAUGAUGCUUUUAUGAUGCUUGUAGUAAGUGUUUCAUGAUAAUAACAAAGGAUUAUUGGCUAUAUUCCAAGAGUGUACCCCCUUGGCAUGGUUAUAUCAUUUGUGGUACUAAUGCUAACCCUCCUACCAUGAGGAUUGUGUGCUUGUUUUCUUCUCUCUUUGGUGUUGCUAGAUAUGAAUUUGAGGACAAAUUCCAUUCAAGAUGGAGAGAGAAUAUUUGACCUUUAAUUAAUUGAAAGGGCAUAUUUGAUCUUUUAAAUAUUCACAAGUUCACCAACAUUAGUACCAGUUGUUUCACUGUUUGAGUACUCAUGUAUUACGUUAAACUUGUUCUUUAAUGCAUGACGAAAUUGGUAAUUUUGGGUUUUAAUUUUACAAAGGUAUAUCCAGUGUCUAGGCAUGUUUAUUAAUGGUUGAGUAUUUGUUCACAGAUAUUUCUCUAAAGAUUCAAGAGUUAUAUGUUCUUAUCCUUGUUACUUGCUACUUGAAACUAUUUACAGACUCUAUUUCACUAUAUGUAUAUUAUUACUACAUUCUGCAUAUGCUUAAGAGCCUUGGCAUUUACUAGCGCAAUUGUUUUAGCCAUUCCGUCGCAUAUUAAUAUUAGAGUCGAAUCUAUGUGGAUUGACUCCAUUUGCAAAUUAGAGUCGAAUCUAUGUGGAUUGACUCCAUUUGCAUACCAAGGUCGCUGCUUUGGAUUAUUGGCACAAGAGUGUGAUUGAUUCAUGAUUCCAUUCCAUAUUUCUUGUCAUUUACUGAUUGUUACAAAUAUGAUGAAGUAUAAAUGAUGAUCGUUUGACUGUAGUUAUUCUAGUCUAUUGAAUAUUCUACCUUUGUUAUCUUGAGCAUUCACUAAUACUUACUAUUUUUGUUGCAUAUGACACCCCUAUUAGUUCAAACGGACUUCCCUCUUGCAUAUCCAUUGAGUCAAACUCCAUGCCCAAGUUUCAAAAUGAACCAAAAGACAAGUAUACAGGCUGGUAUAUACCUAUUUGGUUCAUAUUAAGAGUGGAAGCAAACAUGCUGAUUUUUCUACGCUAAUACGCAAAGUAUACACGAUGAUGUAUAAAAACGCGCAGAAAAAUAUAGCUGUGAUAUACAACUAAUAUACAUGUAUGGAAAUGGACUUAAAGUCCAUAAAAUUGCAAGCCUAAGGCUGGACAGCUUACUGAUGGGCCAAAAGGGGCCCAACCCCAACUUUAAUUUUUUAUUCUCUUAUAAAAUGCAACUUAUAUACUUAUAUAUUUGUAUUAGCACUAAUUUUAAUUAAUUAACCUAGUGGUUUAUCGCGUUGUUGGCAUUUUAUUUAUCUCAAAUUCCUCACUUAUUUUAUAAUCUUUCUCACGUAAUCCAUCCUAUCUAAAAAAAUGAAUUAAAUUGGAUUUGUUGGCUUUCUCUUAAAUAAGUCUCUAAAGAGGAAAAAUAAAAAUAUAUACUUUAGUCAAAAAUGACAUUUGUUUUGUUCGCAUGACUAAUGGUCUACUUGGGUUAAAAAUAUUUUUUCUCCAAAUCAAAGAAGUCAAUUUUUCUUGUAAAUUUUAAUUUGUUUUUCAUAAUUGAAGAUGCUUUCAACAUGAUAUUCCCUUAACAUUUUUGAAAGGUGUUAUUUAGAAUCAAUUGACCUUUUAUACUAAAAAGUAAUAAUAAAUAAUUGCAUAAUUCAUUUUUUCGUAAAAAAUACAAACUUAUUUCCUUCUUAAAUCCAAGUGUGCCACCUAGUUUGAAUAGGUUUUUCCUUAAUUCAAGUAGAAAUAAUAUUUCAUAAUUUAUUCUUGGAAAUAAUUAUGAAAUAAGUAGAAUUUUCUCAAUUAGAAUAUUCCUCGGGGUUUUCUCAAAUUUUAACUUUUCGUGAUUAAUUAUGAAUUAAGUAAAAUAAUUUCUCAAGUGAGGUAUUUUGUAAUGUUUCUCAAAUUGAGCGGAUUUCGUAACUUUUUUCUCAAAAUUAAGUGGAAUAAUUGGAGCCUUUUUCCUAAUUCAAGUAGACUAUUUGAAUAAACGAGUGCCAAUUUCAAAUGUGUGGAUAAAUAAUAUUUUUAUCAACUAUUCUGCAAAGUUAGUCACCCUUUUUUAAGUUGGUCAAAAAAGGAUUUUUUGGUGAAUCGUUUUUAAACGGACGCUCCUAAGUGCCUUAAAAA